CCUUUAAGCUCACCACCGUCCUGGCUCAGCCUCACAAGCACUGGGUCCCAGGUGCCUGCCAUCAUGCCCAGCCCUCCAUCAUGUAUCAAAGUACCAUGGGUGAUCUUUUAUAUUUAUGUGUGAGGAAGCUAAAAGAAUGAACACAUGCUACGUGAAUAAAAGGCUGAUAAGUAGUUCUCUUACUCUUUUAUGUAGCAUAAUACCUCUGGGGUAGGAAAUAGUGUCUUUCAGAUAGCACUGAUUACACAUAAAAAUUGUGAAUAAAUGAUUGUAAAAUGAAUGAAUUCUUGAAAUUUAUUUCUAUUGUCAUUUCUACCAAAUCCUGGAAGUAGAUAAUGAUAAUCAGAAUUUGUUCUAAUUGACUGAUUGUAAGGGAUAGGUUUUAACAAAUUAAUUUUAUUAUUGUAAUUAUUUGUUAUCUGGUUAAUAAUUAUGUUUAUAACACAAAAAAAUGUAUAAGGUUCUACAUUGCACUAAAAAUGAAAAUGGUUAAUUUAAGUAGCAAAGAAAGUUUAGUUCCUUUUGUAAAAUACUUCAAAUUUUAACUUUUGCCAGGAAAAAUGCACAUUAAACUCUUCUGUGAGCAGUACUCAGAGCACAGACAUUACCUUUCAGACCAAAGGGUUCCGGUCCAUACCACAAUGUUUUCUGCUUACCUGUUAAAUUGAUUAAUAUUUAUAGGACAUAUGUGUUAGUCUAUAUUAAUAUGAAUACUGGUGACUUAAUCAUUCAAAGAACUUAGAAUUAAAAGACUAUACAUAUCAGAGGAACCUAGAAUUGGGCUUUGUU
rnacentral:lncRNA from 1 species